AGUUGAUCAUGGCUCAGGAUGAACGCUGGCGGCGUGCCUAAUACAUGCAAGUCGAACGAGACGGAAGGGAGCUUGCUCCUUGAUGUCUAGUGGCGAACGGGUGAGUAACACGUAGGUAACCUGCCUUACAGUUGGGAUACCCAAGGGAAACUUUGGCUAAUACCGGAUAAAUGAUCGGGAGGCAUCUCCUGAUUCUAAAAGGGGCCUUUAAAGCCUCGCUGAAAGAUGGACCUGCGGCGCAUUAGCUAGUUGGUGAGAUAACAGCCCACCAAGGCGAGGAUGCGUAGCCGACCUGAGAGGGUGAACGGCCACACUGGAACUGAGACACGGUCCAGACUCCUACGGGAGGCAGCAGUAGGGAGUUUUCGGCAAUGGGGGAAACCCUGACCGAGCAACGCCGCGUGAACGAUGAAAGGUCUUCGGAUUGUAAAGUUCUGUUGUAAGGGAAGAAUGAUAUCUUGAGGAAAUGCUAGAUAUUUGACGGUACCUUAUUAGAAAGCCACGGCUAACUACGUGCCAGCAGCGGC
rnacentral:rRNA from 1 species